UACGUAGGGGGCAAGCGUUGUCCGGAAUUAUUGGGCGUAAAGAGCGUGUAGGCGGUCCGGUAAGUCGGCUGUGAAAGUCCAGGGCUCAACCCUGGGAUGCCGGUCGAUACUGCCGGACUAGAGUUCGGAAGAGGCGAGUGGAAUUCCCGGUGUAGCGGUGAAUGCGCAGAUAUCGGGAGGAACACCUAUGGCGAAGGCAGCUCGCUGGGACGUUACUGACGCUGAGGUGACGAAAGCGUGGGGAGCAAAUGGG
rnacentral:rRNA from 1 species